rnacentral:rRNA from 1 species
ACGCGUGAGGAACCUGCCUCAAAGAGGGGGACAACAGUUGGAAACGACUGCUAAUACCGCAUAAGCCCACGGCUCGGCAUCGAGCAGAGGGAAAAGGAGCAAUCCGCUUUGAGAUGGCCUCGCGUCCGAUUAGCUAGUUGGUGAGGUAAUGGCACACCAAGGCGACGAUCGGUAGCCGGACUGAGAGGAUGACCAGCCACACUGGAACUGAGACACGGUCCAGACUCCUACGGGAGGCAGCAUG